CAUCCAAUUUAAGCACUCUUCGAUCCUCUCUUCACGUCCCUCUAUCACUCCAUCUCCUCCCCCCAACGCUCUCACUCUCUUCACGUCUCAGUAUCUCCGGUCUUUACUGACAGUCAUCGCGAAGCAAGACCCCUUAUUGUUCAAAUCCCUAAGGAUGGCUCCACAGCAUUUUUCUUUUCUGGGUUUUCAUCGUCAAUUCAAUGGGUGUUGAUAAUUGGGGCCAAAAGAAUCAAUCCCGGUUCGUGUUUAUCAUCGUCAUUCGGCAAUGAGCACAGGAUCAUGACAGGGCCAUGCUUUAUUCCAGAGGUCGUCCAAGAAAACAUCUUUUACGAGAGAUUCUUGGCCAUGCCACUUUCUUGAUCUGGGUGAGGAAACAUUGUGAUGCUUUUCUUUUCGCCUUAAGAAAGUUGUCGCAUGUUGAUCUGAUUCUUAUAGGUGGAGUUGAAAGGUUUAUCAAAGCGGUCAACAUAUUUUUGUUGAUGACUAAAUCAAGAAGGGCCUUAUUGUAGGUUCUUGCU